rnacentral:rRNA from 1 species
GAUGAACGCUAGCUACAGGCUUAACACAUGCAAGUCGAGGGGCAGCAUGGUCUUAGCUUGCUAAGGCCGAUGGCGACCGGCGCACGGGUGAGUAACACGUAUCCAACCUGCCGUCUACUCUUGGACAGCCUUCUGAAAGGAAGAUUAAUACAAGAUGGCAUCAUGAGUCCGCAUGUUCACAUGAUUAAAGGUAUUCCGGUAGACGAUGGGGAUGCGUUCCAUUAGAUAGUAGGCGGGGUAACGGCCCACCUAGUCUUCGAUGGAUAGGGGUUCUGAGAGGAAGGUCCCCCACAUUGGAACUGAGACACGGUCCAAACUCCUACGGGAGGCAGCAGUGAGGAAUAUUGGUCAAUGGGCGCAGGCCUGAACCAGCCAAGCAGCGUGAAGGAUGACUGCCCUAUGGGUUGUAAACUUCUUUUAUAAAGGAAUAAAGUCGGGUAUGUAUACCCGUUUGCAUGUACUUUAUGAAUAAGGAUCGGCUAACUCCGUG